UGCUGUAACACUGGGUGGCCUUUACAUUAUAAUUUAAGGUAUCUUUUGUAAUUUAGUGUUAAUAAUAGUGUUGAAUUUAUCCACAUACAGGCCCAGAUUUGAAGAAAAGGCCACAAAAGCCUGGCUCUGGGUGACAGGAAUUUAGGGGUGCCACAUCUGAUUUCUCCCAAAGCAAUGUGGACAUGCUUUACAUCUUUCAUGUGCCAAAUCUCCAGUGCAAAACCCAGUGGAAACUUGCAAUCAGACAAACUGGUGUGACAGGAGUGGGUUAUAACAAUAACAUAAAUCUAUUGAUUCCAACCAGAAAAGCAAAAGGAAAACCUAAGGAUAUUCACAAAACUAUUCAAUGGGCAAUCCCCUAUUGAUUUCUAUUAACCUUUUUGAGGGAUAAUUGAAGGUGACCACUGACCAUGGGCUAGGGACAAGCAAUAUCUAACUAAGCAG